rnacentral:rRNA from 1 species
GACGGAGGAUGCAAGCGUUAUCCGGAAUGAUUGGGCGUAAAGCGUCCGCAGGUGGCAGUUCAAGUCUGCUGUCAAAGACCGGGGCUUAACUUCGGAAAGGCAGUGGAAACUGAACAGCUAGAGUAUGGUAGGGGCAGAGGGAAUUCCCGGUGUAGCGGUGAAAUGCGUAGAGAUCGGGAAGAACAUCGGUGGCGAAAGCGCUCUACUGGACCGCAACUGACACUCAGGGACGAAAGCUAGGGGAGCGAAUGGG